rnacentral:misc_RNA from 2 species
AACGCACAUUGCGCCCGCCAGCAUUCUGGCGGGCAUGCCUGUUCGAGCGUCAUUUCAACCCUCGACUUCCCUUUGGGGAAAUCGGCGUUGGGGAACGGCAGCAUACCGCCGGCCCCGAAAUGAAGUGGCGGCCCGUCCGCGGCGACCUCUGCGUAGUAAUCCAACUCGCACCGGAACCCCGACGUGGCCACGCCGUAAAACACCCAACUUCUGAACGUUGACCUCGGAUCAGGUAGGAAUACCCGCUGAACUUAA